rnacentral:rRNA from 1 species
GGGGAAAACGUAACCAGGGAUUUCCCCUAGUAACUGCGAGUGAAGCGGGAAAAGCUCAAAUUUAAAAUCUGGCGGUCCUUGCGGCCGUCCGAGUUGUAAUUUAGAGAAGUGUUAUCCGCGCUGGACCGUGUACAAGUCUCCUGGAAUGGAGCGUCAUAGAGGGUGAGAAUCCCGUCUUUGACACGGACUGCCAGGGCAUUGUGAUACGCUCUCAAAGAGUCGAGUUGUUUGGGAAUGCAGCUCAAAAUGGGUGGUAAAUUCCAUCUAAAGCUAAAUAUUGGGGAGAGACCGAUAGCGAACAAGUACCGUGAGGGAAAGAUGAAAAGAACUUUGGAAAGAGAGUUAAACAGUACGUGAAAUUGCUGAAAGGGAAACGCUUGAAGUCAGUCGCGUUGUUCAGGACUCAGCCUUGCUUUGCUUGGUGUACUUCCUGUUCGACGGGUCAGCAUCAAUUUUGGCCGGUGGAUAAAGGCUUGGAGAAUGUGGCAUCUUCGGGUGUGUUAUAGCUCUGGGUCGUAUACAUCGGUUGGGAUUGAGGAACUCAGCACGCCGCAAGGCCGGGUAC